GAUGAAGAACGCAGCGAAAUGCGAUAAGUAAUGUGAAUUGCAGAAUUCAGUGAAUCAUCGAAUCUUUGAACGCACAUUGCGCCCGCCAGUAUUCUGGCGGGCAUGCCUGUCCGAGCGUCAUUUCAACCAUCAAGCCCCAGGCUUGUGUUGGGGACCUGCGUCCGACGCAGGCCCUGAAAACCAGUGGCGGGCUCGCUGUCCACACCGAGCGUAGUAACUAACCUCGCUACGGGAGCGGCGCGGGCGCCUGCCGUAAAACCCCCAAUUUUCACAAGGUUGACCUCGGAUCAGGUAGGAAUACCCGCUGAACUUAAGCAUAUCAAUAAGCGGAGGA
rnacentral:misc_RNA from 1 species